rnacentral:rRNA from 1 species
CAAUGCGCGAAAGCGUGACGGGGCAAUGCCGCGUGCAGGAUGAAGCCCUUCGGGGUGUAAACUGCUGUCAGGGUGCAGGAANGACAUGACCAUACCCAAAGGAAGCACCGGCUAACUCUGUGCCAGCAGCCGCGGUAAUACAGAGGGUGCGAGCGUUAAUCGGAAUCACUGGGCUUAAAGGGUGCGUAGGCGGAUGCAUAGGCGCUUUGUGAAAUCCCACGGCUCAACCGUGGAAUUGCUUGGCGAACCAUGCGUCUUGAGGUUGGUAGAGGUCACUGGAACGAUAGGUGGAGCGGUGAAAUGCGUAGAUAUCUAUCGGAACGCCAAAGGUGAAGACAGGUGACUGGGCCAAAUCUGACGCUGAGGCACGAAAGCGUGGGGAGCAAACGGGAUUAGAUACCCCGGUAGUCCACGCUGUAAACGAUGCAUACUUGGUCGGAGNGGUUUGACUCCNUUCCGGCCGUAGNAAAA